rnacentral:lncRNA from 1 species
UUCCUGUGUUCUAAUUUAGUUUAGCCACUAAAUCAUUUUAAUAAAUUCUGUAGGUUAUUAUAUGGCUUGCUAAAAUAUACGCAAAGCCACUCACAAACUUCCAGAAUUAUUGGAGUUAUAUUUAAUAUAUAUUAAAUAUAAAUCCAAAGCAAAUAAUUAUUGGAUUAAUUCAAAUGGCCAAAAUAAAUGUUUCUGAGCUCCUAAAAAUAUUGGUUUGAAUUUUACCUCUUGCCAAUAUUUUUAUAGAAUAACAGGAACAUUUUCUUGGACUCAUUUGAGAAUAUUUUAAAGUUGGUUAUUUUUGAACUGAUUUCUGAGGGUUUCAACAAACCUCAAUUCAACUUUCAGAAAUUUUAGACAUGAUGCAUGAGGGUAGUUGCAACUAUUUCACUCAGGUAUUCUAGGGCUGUGACAACUCACCCCCAGUAAACAAAAAUCUCAUCCCGAGAUUCAAGAGGCGAGGUAAGAAGACAGAGGGGAUACAAGCUAGCAUGAUCUUCAUGAUCCAUUGCUUCAGAUCGAUCUUGGCGUCCUUCCUUUCGAGAUCUUCAUCCAACAUAAUGACGACGGACAGAAACUCUAUAGGAAUCGAUCUUCUCGAAGAUCGGCAACUCAAGAUCAACUCAUGGGGUGAGAUAUAAAACAUCUCUUGAGCUGAGAAACGAAACAUACAUUCAGAGGGAUGGGGUGUAACAGAUGACGAAGGUUCCCUAGGUAGGCCACAAAUCCAUGCUUGAUCACGAUGUAGCGAGGAUUUAACUGUCAUGAUUCCCCAACGGGGCACCUUAGGAAAAGUGACUCGUAGAAUCAUCCCUUAAGUGGCAGAAAGAAUUACUUUUGACAUAGAGAUCAUUGAAACUCUUGAUACCAGCAUAAGGCAAUUGCAAAUGAUUGUUUGACGGAGUUCGAGGAAAUUGCAUACUAAGAUCGAAAGGAAACUAUGGUUAUAGAACAACUCAGCAAACGGAAGGCACAUUCCAAUUGAUACCGAGAAUAUAACCUAGUGACUGAGCAUGCUCUGAAGAACUUGAGCAUUUCCAUAUUCAUCAAGGUCUUACCAACAUCCGUGCCAAGGAUCCUGUCCACAACAUACUACCAUGAUGAAUAGUGACAGAGGAUGCAUAUGCAAAGGAAGAUAACACUUUCUCAGGUUUCACCUUAGCGAGGCCAAGGAAACGAAAUAUGGACGAUCGACCGAGAGACAUUUAGCACUCCGCUUCUAAUGUUCUCCUUUAUGCACUAACGUAAUCCUUUCAUAGAUAUGGUUUGAUAUCUAGAACAUCAAGUAAAAGGUCGGACUUUGGGAACACAAAAAUCCAUAAGGAACAACUAGGGAGUAAAUCAUGCGAGGUCCUUAUGGGGAGGUGGCCAACUUUCACAAUCAGGAUACUACAGUAAUAGGUCUUCCGGCUGGGUGUAUUGGCCACGACAUCCACUUUACCGGGUUAUAGAGAGACCGAUACUAUAGUUCUUGGGAAACAUUCCAACCAUCAUAACUGCCUGGGAUUCAGAUCUGGUUGGUUUCAGGAUAUUCCAGACUCAUUAAGUCUAGAAAGAAAAAUGAAAGUUUGCAACACAAAUCAAUGAGACGACGUUGCGAGAUUCUCGGGGAAUGAACUGCGUUAGCAAGCUCCAAAAGAUGAGCUGGUUCUGCUACACACAUACGAACAUGUUGUCUCAGACAAGCAUGACCACAUAGUGGUCUUAUAAUAAAACACUACCGAGUUCAGGUGGGGAACCAUCAACAAGGGAUAUCGAAGUCCUUGCAUAAGUCCGGAUUAUCUCUUAUGAAGGAAUUCCUUUUCCUAGAACAAAUCAGUUAGUGGCUUGGUGUGCUAGGGAAUUCAUAUGGAAUGAAGAUGAUCAGUCUAACAGACCAUGGAAUACUUCGCACGUGCAUAAUUGACUUGGGAUGAUUCCAGAGGAGGCAAAAACAUGCUUUCUCGAAUUCACGGUGGCAACUUGCAUCAAAUGCACAUGAAUUAGAGGAAGUCACUUCUUUUCAUCCAAGCAUAUGCUUCAUGAACGGGGCAUGAAGAUAAUGCCUAUAAUGUUUCCAAUACUAGCUAGAUGUUCAACACAAAUCAUCGAGAAGAUAACAAUGUUGCUGAUGGGCCCAACAACAAUACAUCCAGGUUUCCACAUAGGUGAAAUUCCACAAUUAUGUGAACAAGGUGAUAGCAUUGGUCAGACCAAAAGAUGUAAUGGUGUAUGCUCGAGGGAUCAACCACGAGUAAGACAACAUUACGAUUAUCGUUGGUUCUGAUUUGAUUUGACGAUAGCCCAUGCGCAAAUCAAAGAUUGGAUAAGACAAUAGCACCGACAAUUUAUCACGAGGAUCAAUCGAUGAAGAUAUCAUCUUUCUUCGACAAACACACAAAUGCAAGGAUAUCCCUUUGGAGUUCAACUAAGCGGGACAAGCUUUCAUCUUCCAACUCUGCAAGUUGUUGUCUAGCUCAAUCAACUAGCUCAGGGGUAUCCAACAUAGAUUCUGGGAGAAGGGGUGGUUUACAAGAAACCAACUUGAUCACGAGCUCAACAUAGUAGUCAGGAGACAACCUGGUGAUACUUCCGAGAAGAUAUUCAGAACAUCAUGAACCACCGAUAUGUUAUUAAGCUCAGGAGCAUUCUUGCUUUUCAGGGCAAGAUGAUGUGAUCAAGAGAGUGAUGGAUUGAAACAAUCCUAUCUCAUUAAUCGAGGAAUGCACCAGGGAAAAUGGACUAGGUCCCACGAUAGAUCUUAGGAUGAUGACUCAAUAUGAACAUGCUAAGAAUGAGAUUAUUGUCCAUUAACUACCAAGCAACGGAGUUGCUAGGAGUAUAGAUUUCACACAUCACGAUUCACUUGUCGGUAUUCCGGUUGUGACAACACGAAACUGAUGAAUGAAUAAUGAUGGCGAGAAGUAUCACUAUGUCAAGAGUUCAUAGGAUGGUGUGCAAGUCCCAUGACAUUCUAGAUAUAAAGAUGGUAAUACUCCAAGGUGGAACAGAACAAAAGCUGGACUAGUAUUUGAUCUGUGGAACACAACUGCUUUGACCCAAUCAUGGAUAUGGAUGAGGUACUGGAGUUUGUUUCUCCUAGUCAUUCCCGAAUAGAAUGGCUUGAUGGGCCACACGAGUAGUGGCAUCGAUGAACACGAAUGCAUAACUACUCCUGACUAUCAAUUUAUAGACGAGGGCCAGAAAACAACUAAAGAGGGACAACUCAAAGGAACAUAUGUUUUUCUGAGUUGUGGACGCAUGGAUUAGUAUGCCGAACAAAUUCAGCAUAUUUCUUCCAGAUAACCCAUGCAGAAGGGUUGAACUGGCAGAGUCGCAAAAUCAAAUGGAGAACCCAUCAAGAGCAAUCUUGUCGUGAUCUCUUGGUUCAAGGAACUUCUGCCAAAAAUGGUUCAUGGUAUUUAGGAGAAUGAUGUACCAUAGACCUCGAAGACUAUCGCAAAGGUUACUAAUAUCCUAAAGGUACGAGCAACACUAACAACAUGAGGUAAGUAGGGAAAUCUCGGGUUCAGAAACCCAGGAGUAGAAUACCUAUUACUAAGUGGCAUCACGGGAUGCUUUCAAGAAUGAUGGCCAAAAUCAUCACACGGGAAACACAAAGCAUGACUAGAUUACUAGGUGAUACUCUAGACACCUAGGGUCAUCAUAAGAGCUCCAACAUAAAUGUCGAGGCAAUAGAAUACCUCAACUCAACAAUUAGUGUGAUUAACCUGGCCUAAAGUAACAUCGAAACCAGAGGGUAAGGAUUUCGCAAAUGCACCGGAUUGUUUAGAAACCUGGGAUGCCUCGGACAGCAUAACGGCUGUAAAUGCUCCAAAGGAUUUAAGACAUCCUACAAAAUGGUGGCAUAGCCACUCAGAAGCACAAUAUCAAGGUUUCGAGAUCAACAGUUAACAUACGGAAGUAGUAGGAACUGAACUGAGACUUAAAUCCAACAAUCUUACAAGUCUACGGAUUAGUAACACGUGAUCCUGAUAGAAAGAAGAGAAAUCCUACUUCCUUAACCCCGUAGGGAAGAUAAGGUGACUCAGAUCAGAAGGCAUAAGGUAUAAGGAGUAAAAAGAGCCUUACGUUCCAUCCCACUAUCAAUUCCCUUAUAUAACUAAAGAAUUUCUAGACUCAGCUUCGACCAGUUUGGCUUGGUAAUCCUACAGGCAGUCAGGCUCUGAUACCAAAGCUGGCAGAACCCCGACUCAAUGCCACACCGAUCUAGCAUGUAACACCUCAUAUCACUUUGUGGCCUCACGCACGGUAUUCCCACGGGUGUCGCCUCACCAGGCCCGGGACCGUUUGCGCCUUUUGGCACACGUAUAUGAUAGUGACGCUAGCAUCCAUAUGAUAAGGAGUCCGGGCUAACAUGACUAGUCGUGAACCCAAAGUGGCACUAACUUACAGGAACAGGCAUACAUGACCCAACAAUGAACGUGUCGGUCAUCAGCGAGUGAAUCUGGGCUGUAGCAACUGGGCUAGCUGGACUCCGGUAAACCAGGCUGUAGCAGGCUAACAGGACUCCGAUAGACACCGCGUGACAUUUCCCCAAAGGGACAGACACAGGAACGAAGAAGGACACAUGCCGGCCAGCCUAAGUGUUCCGGAGCCGUAGCAAGCUACCAUGCCUCAGUUGAAGCACUGGGAGACAUUUCUCGGUAAGAGAGGCUACCAAGGAUAAACAACUAGAUAGUCAGAUCCCACACAUACCAAGCAUUUCAAAAACAUACACACAAUAUGCUCGAUAUGUGCAAAUACAACAUGGUAUCACACCAUGACUCUACAACUCAAGUAUUUUAUUCAAUAGGCUCCGAGGAGCGAGAUAUUACAAAAAUGGGUCUCAUGACCCAGCAUUCAGAGCAUACUAGUCAAAGCACAAACGGAAGCUUAACAUGUCUGAGUACAGACAUCUACAAAUGAAAAAGGCUGAGAAGCCUGACUAUCUACUAGAUCUUGUCGAGGGCACAAGGUCGUAGCUGUGGUAACAAGCUAAACGUCGAAGUCCAGGUGGAACUACUAGUGAGACGGAAGUCUCUCUACAAAAACAUAAAAUAGGAAAACAUGAGUACAAAUGUACCCAGCAAGACUUACAUCAGAACUAACUACAUAUGCAUCAUUGUCAACAAAGGGGAUGGUGGGGUUUAACUGCAGCAAGCCAGCUUUGACUCGGUGGCUAUCCUGAACUAUGACUCCAAGUAACUCUUUUGAGGUGGCGCACACGAGUCCACAUAUUCACCAUAUCAAUACACCACUAUGGUUCCGCUCCCAUCUUCCUAUGAGAACGCCAUCCAUAGCACUCACGCUUAUCUUGCGCAUUUUAGAGUAUCCACUUUCACUUGUCGAUGAACUGUACAGGCAACCCAGAAGUCCUUUAUCGCGGACAUGGCUAUUCGAAUAGAUAAUGUUAACCCUGCAGGGGUGUACUUCGUCACACAUGCUCUCACCACUUAUCGCCGUUUACACGACAUGUACUCGGCAACCUUCAAGCGGAAGCCCAGCAAGGGUGUCGGCCACGACCUGACUAACCACACAAGUCUCUCGUCCAGGUUUAUCGCCUAUUCGGGUUCCAUCCGCAAGGAGAUCCGGCCGGGGUGUCGCUCACGGCCCCAAACGAUGUGUGCAAGGUUCCCAAGCCCACCUCGACGGCUGGAUCUACGCUUGGUACACCGUGCCAUGGUGCCUAGUCUGUACCAAGCCCACCUGUAUCGGGUGCCACUUGGUAGACUACUAACACUACCUACAAACACCAAAAACUAGUUGCAACUCCUGGAUAGAGAUCAGGUUGAUUAAUAAGUCGAGAAAGCUUGGAGCGCCCGCAGCCCAAUGUGUGGUAGUUACUGUUUCUGGAUCACAAACACAAAACUCAGUUCCUGAGGGCGGUUUCAAUGAGACAACCCACCAUGUACUCCUACAUGGCCUCUCACUGCUACCUUUAGCAAAUCAUGUUCACACACUUAGCUCUCAAAAGUAGGACAUGUUCACCACAUUCCAAUUCAUCCCUGAUGAAUCAGACCUGACUCAACUCUAAGCAGUAGCAGGCAUGAAAAACAAGCAUGAAUGAGUAGGCACAUCAGGGCUCAAACAAUUCCUACUCAUGCUAGUGGGUUUCAUCUAAUUACUAUGGCAAUGAUAGGUCAUGCAGAAGAAAGGGGUUCAACUACCGCAGCAUGUAACAGUUGAAACGUUGUUGUCCUAAUGCAGUAAAAGAGAGCCGGAGCGACAGAGUGGUAUUGUAUUGGAAUGAACAAGGGGGUUUUGCUUGCCUGGCACUUCUGAAGAUAGUAUAGUUCUUCAUCAGUGUCAUCGAACUCAUCAAUGGAACCACGUCUAUCAAGAGGGGACAAACACCGGCAAACAAGGAAGAACACAAUCAAUGCAAUGCAUAAUAUGAUGUAUGAUCAUGACAUGGUAAUAUGAGUGUGUUGGCCUAAUGCAACUACAACCAGAUGGGUUUGGGUCAUUUUGAACCAAAGGUUCAACCCCAAACUCAAAUUAUGAAUUUAAAUAGUGCCUUAUCAUGUUUUGCACUAAAAAGCAAGGUUAAGUUUCUUAAACAAGCAUGAGACUAGUACAGAUGGAUAUAUUGGAUUUUUCUGAUCAUUUUUCAUAUAUAAUUUAUCUCAUUCUGAGCUACGGUUGAAUUUCUAUGAUUUUUCAAAGUUUUGGAUAUUUUCUGAAAUAAAUAAAUCAUUUAAGACUUAUUUAAAUUCCAGAAAAGAGUUAUUGCAUCAGCAUGAUGCCACUGUGAUGUCAGCAGGUCAGUGGGGUCGUCCAGGUCAAACCUGACCAGUGGGUCCCACUGGUCAGUGGCACAACUAAUUAACCAAGUUAAUUAGCCUUAAGUUAAUUCUAACUAAACUGUUUGUGGGGCCGGGGCACACUAGUCAGUGACUAAUUAGCUAACUAACCUAGGUUAAUUAGUGUUAAACUAAUACUAACUAAAAGUGUCAGGGGGUGGCCCACGCGUCAAUAAAACACGAGGGGAGGUCAAACCCUGGUCAGCGGGGUCAAACCCGCCGGACCUGGUCCACGGCUCGUCGCCGGCAACGACAGAGACGACGGUGGGCUUCGGAAAUCGCCCACAAGAGAUGGUUUUGGGCGUGGGGAGGCUCUACUAAGAGGUGCUGCUCGCGCACAGCUGAUGGAGCAGACAACGGGAGCUGGGGUGGCCUGCUGGGCUGGGCCAGCUCCUGGGCUGCACAGUACUGGCCUGUGGGCUUUAGGUAAGCGCCAGGUACUAACUCUCUCUCUCUUUUCCUGUUUUUCUUUUUCUAUUUCAUUUCCUGUGUUCUCAUGUAGUUUAGCCACUAAAUCAUUUUAAUAAAUUAUGUAGGUUAUUAUAUGGCUUGCUGAAAUAUACGCAAAGCCACUCACAAACUUCUAGAUUUAUUGGAGUUAUAUUUAAUGUAUAUUAAAUAUAAAUCCAAAGCAAAUAAUUAUUGGAUUAAUUCAAAUGGCCAAAAUAAAUGUUCCUGAGCUCCUAAAAAUAUUGGUUUGAAUUUUACCUCUUGCCAAUAAUUUUAUAGAAUAACAGGAACAUUUUCUUGGACUCAUUUGAGAAGAUUUUAAAGUUGGUUAUUUUUGAACUGAUUUGUGAGGGUUUCAACAAACCUCAAUUCAACUUUCAGAAAUUUUAG